rnacentral:tRNA from 3 species
GUAGAUAUAGCUCAGCUGGUUAGAGCGCCGGAUUGUGAUUCCGGAGGUCGUGGGUUCGAGCCCCAUUAUUUACCCA